AUUGAACGCUGGCGGCAGGCCUAACACAUGCAAGUCGAGCGGUAGAGAGGUGCUUGCAUCUCUUGAGAGCGGCGGACGGGUGAGUAAUGCCUAGGAAUCUGCCUAGUGGUGGGGGGAUAACGUUCGGAAACGGACGCUAAUACCGCAUACGUCCUACGGGAGAAAGCGGGGGGAUCUUCGGACCUCGCGCCAUUAGAUGAGCCUAGGUCGGAUUAGCUAGUUGGUGAGGUAAUGGCUCACCAAGGCGACGAUCCGUAACUGGUCUGAGAGGAUGAUCAGUCACACUGGAACUGAGACACGGUCCAGACUCCUACGGGAGGCAGCAGUGGGGAAUAUUGGACAAAUGGGCGAAAGCCUGAUCCAGCCAUGCCGCGUGUGUGAAGAAGGUCUUCGG
rnacentral:rRNA from 1 species